AUUACUUCAUUCAUGAUACAGUUGUGAUAAAACCUUUAAGGAAUUAGAGUAGUUUAAAGAGUCUCCUCCUCCUGACUGCAGAGGAGCCUGAUGACAGAGAUCUCUUUAAAUCAAGCUGUGAACAUCAGACCAAACAGCUCACCAAACUUACUCAUACUUGUUCUUCACUUACAGCGUCUCAUCUCUACAAACAUGGAACAACUCACUAUUAUCUUCAUUUUAACUCUCCUGGGUAACACCUUGGAGGAUGAUAUUACUGCCAGCAGUGCUGAAGUGUUUUCAUCAGAGGGUCACAGUGUUACUCUGUCCUGUAAAUACUCAGUUAAAGCUAAUAAUCUCCAGUGGUAUCAACAGUAUCCUGGAUCAGCUCCUCAGUUCCUUCUCCUGAUCAUCGACACUUCAGAUCAAACUGUAGUGACAGCAAAACCUCCACACCCUCGACUGACUGUUAAACUGAAUGAGGAGAGAAACCGUCUGGAUCUAAAGAUCUCCUCUGCUGCACUGACUGACUCUGCUGUGUACUACUGUGCUCUGCAGCCCACAGUGACAGGAAACACCACAACUCUGUACAAAAACCUCUGGAGAGAAGACAACACAAUACUCCACAACAUCCACAAGAGGGUAUGUAUGUAAAGGAAAAUGUGGGUGUUUAGGGAAAUAAUUUGAAUAAUAAGUUGAAUUAAAACAAUAGAUUUUUGAGGUGUGAUGGAUUGUGUUGCAUUAAGAGUUGAAUUUCAAUAACAUACGAUUCUGUAUCAUA